GGUUGUGUAGUGUAGUGGCUAUCACUCCGGAUUUUGAUCCUCACCCUUCCGGCGACCCCGGUUCGAACCCGGGCACGAUCU